UUGAACGCUGGCGGUAUGCUUAACACAUGCAAGUCGAACGGAAACGAUACUAGCUUGCUAGUAGGCGUCGAGUGGCGGACGGGUGAGUAACGCGUAGGAAUCUGCCUGAUAGUGGGGGAUAGCCCGAAGAAAUUCGGAUUAAUACCGCAUAAUCUAUUCGUAGUAAAGUGGGGGACUUUCGAGCCUCACGCUAUCAGAUGAGCCUGCGUAAGAUUAGCUUGUUGGUAGGGUAAAAGCCUACCAAGGCGACGAUCUUUAGCUGGUCUGAGAGGAUGAUCAGCCACAUCGGGACUGAGACACGGCCCGAACUCCUACGGGAGGCAGCAGUGGGGAAUAUUGGACAAUGGGGGCAACCCUGAUCCAGCAAUACCGCGUGUGUGAAGAAGGCCUGAGGGUUGUAAAGCACUUUCAAUUGUGAAGAAAAGUUAGCGGUUAAUAACCGUUAGCCUUGACGUUAACUUUAGAAGAAGCACCGGCUAACUCCGUGCCAGCAGCCGCGGUAAUACGGAGGGUGCAAGCGUUAAUCGGAAUUACUGGGCGUAAAGCGUGCGUAGGCGGUUUAUUAAGUCAGAUGUAAAAGCCCCGGGCUUAACCUGGGAACUGCAUUUGAAACUGGUCAACUAGAGUAUGGUAGAGGAAAGUGGAAUUUCUGGUGUAGCGGUGAAAUGCGUAGAUAUCAGAAGGAACAUCAAUGGCGAAGGCAGCUUUCUGGACCAAUACUGACGCUGAGGUACGAAAGCGUGGGUAGCAAACAGGAUUAGAUACCCUGGUAGUCCACGCCGUAAACGAUGAUAACUAGCCGUUGGGGGGAUUUACCCUUUAGUGGCGAAGCUAACGCGUUAAGUUAUCCGCCUGGGGAGUACGGCCGCAAGGUUAAAACUCAAAGGAAUUGACGGGGACCCGCACAAGCGGUGGAGCAUGUGGUUUAAUUCGAUGCAACGCGAAGAACCUUACCUGGUCUUGACAUCCUGCGAACUUUCUAGAAAUAGAUUGGUGCCCUCGGGAACGCAGUGACAGGUGCUGCAUGGCUGUCGUCAGCUCGUGUCGUGAGAUGUUGGGUUAAGUCCCGUAACGAGCGCAACCCCUAUCCUUAUUUGCCAGCACAUCAUGGUGGGAACUAUAAGGAGACUGCCGGUGAUAAACCGGAGGAAGGCGGGGACGACGUCAAGUCAUCAUGGCCCUUACGACCAGGGCUACACACGUGCUACAAUGGGAAGGACAAAGAGCCGCGAAGCCGCGAGGUGUAGCUAAUCUCAUAAACCUUUUCGUAGUCCGGAUUGGAGUCUGCAACUCGACUCCAUGAAGUCGGAAUCGCUAGUAAUCGUAGAUCAGAAUGCUACGGUGAAUACGUUCCCGGGUCUUGUACACACCGCCCGUCAAGG
rnacentral:rRNA from 1 species